UACGGAGGGUGCAAGCGUUAUCCGGAUUCACUGGGUUUAAAGGGUGCGUAGGUGGGCAAGUAAGUCAGUGGUGAAAUCUCCGGGCUUAACCCGGAAACUGCCAUUGAUACUAUUUGUCUUGAAUACUGUGGAGGUCAGCGGAAUAUGUCAUGUAGCGGUGAAAUGCUUAGAUAUGACAUAGAACACCAAUUGCGAAGGCAGCUGGCUGCACAAAUAUUGACACUGAGGCACGAAAGCGUGGGGAUCAAACAGG
rnacentral:rRNA from 1 species